rnacentral:rRNA from 1 species
UGGGGAAUUUUCCGCAAUGGGCGAAAGCCUGACGGAGCAAUGCCGCGUGGAGGUGGAAGGCCUACGGGUCGUCAACUUCUUUUCUCGGAGAAGAGACAAUGACGGUAUCUGAGGAAUAAGCAUCGGCUAACUCUGUGCCAA